CCUCAGUGCGCGGAGACCAGGCAGGCGCUCCCGGAAGCAGGCGUCGGUGACACCGCGGAAAGACCAGGGUCACUGCUGCCAUGGAGUUUAUAUUCCAGUGGAAGCCACGUCCUACAAAUUUGCGUGUAGCAUUUUCUCAGUGUGGUUUCCGUAAUCCUCAGUCGUGCUAAGGACUCUUGCCUUGCUGCGCCUCAAGUAACGACUAUGAAUUUCUCAUUCCCGUUGGCUGUUUUUAUACCAUAAACACAUGUAUGUUUCCCUAACGAAUAGAGGAUAUUGUUUUGUAUGUUUGAACUUUUCUAU